ensembl:lncRNA
AGUUAGUUUGAUGUUAGGGUUAAUGAAUGUUGUCCUUGCUGUACCCCAUAGUUAGUGUAGGAAGGUCUGUAGCAAUCUCCCAUGGCACUUCCUUUGACUAGCGUAGGAAGGUCUGUAGCAACCUCACUUCCUUUGACCAGCGUAGGAAGGUCUGUAGCAACCUCACUUCCUUUGACCAGCAUAGGAAGGUCUGUAGCAACCUCACUUCCUUUGACCAGCGUAGGAAGGUCUGUAGCAACCUCACUUCCUUUGACCAGCGUAGGAAGGUCUGUAGCAAUCUCACUUCCUUUGACUAGCGUAGGAAGGUCUGUAGCAACCUCACUUCCU